UCUAGGUCAUCUGGCUUUCCGGGAUGCCGGUUUCAUACACAGUCAAGACAUGGCAUCCUACGGCACAUGGCUGGAAGAGAUGCAGCAGCACGAGGAAGAAGGGCUCAGGCGGACAGGGAGGAGCUGCUUGAACAUCAUGCAGCGGGCCUAUAAACAUCGGCAGAAAGGCAGGGUCCGGCGCCUUGUGAGGAGGCUGCUCUGCUGUAUUCACAGGGAACCUUACCCGCAGGACUUCCUGAGCUGCAUGCCAGAACAUCCGCAGUAGCGCCAGGCCAAGGCAACGUGAACAUCAGAGUUGUGCUGCAGAGAUACCGUCUUCUGCUCUCCGUGGGAUCCAGCCUGGAUCAGCGCCAGGAACAUCAAGGCCAUCAGGAUCGACCAAGAGGAGUGGUGCUGCCCUCACGACCCUCCGUACAUAGCGGUAGGAAACCUUUUGUUGUUGUUGUCUUUUUUGUUGAUGUUGGUUUUGACUGUUGAUGUUAACUAGUCCACGAUCUAGUCUCGCCCCAUAAGUAUCGCCCCCAAAGGGACGAUCUUUCCUUUCUUGUUUUCCCUUUGUUGGGGGUCCCACCCCCAGGACAGGCAGGCUUUAUGGAGCUCCCCCAGUCGCUGGUGUACGCCCAGGGUCCGGUUCCUUGCAGGACUCUCUGCCGUCCUCUCAAGUCCUCCCCAGCAGCAACUUUCUUCCAUUUCUUUGCUUAUUCACCAAGAGCGGGGAUUGUUAGGGGCGGGGGCAAUAAGAGGGUCUAACAUUCAUGAGAUUUCGUACCCUUUCUAACAGAAUCUCUUUUCUCUCUUUCCUGCAUGGAACAAAACCGCGAUGGGAAACGGCGGCCUAUCUGCUGGAGCCUGGGAGGAGACGUCCGGAUAAAAGAAGAAUGUCAUCAGCCGCGAAAGAAGCCGCCCUGAAGACGACACCUGCAACAUCGACCCUCCACCUGGCAGUGGAUUUCAGGACUGGACACUUUCUAUUGACUCUUUCGGGACUUAAAACAGCAAGCGGGACUUUCUUUAGUAAGAUAGGUUGAAAUGGAUGUAUAGAAUAGGAUAGGCAAAACAGGGAGCAUUCAAGGUUACGAGAUAGUGUUUUGUAUAUUAUUUUUGUUCCU